UCGGGUUUCAGUGAUGGCCCUUUCAGCUUUCUAUAUCAUGGGCUUCAUUACAGGGAGGCCUAGAUCCAAUUUUCUAUUAUGAAGGCAAAAGAAAUUUAGGGCGUUCAUUGUAAUUUUAUGGACGAACACCACGGCUUUCAGGAGUAGGUGUUUGCAAUGAUGUCAGUACGGGCUUCUCAUUUGCUGUUGCUGACAUAGAUCUGUUUCGAGGAACCACCUUCGGGCAGAUUAAAGUAAGGAUUUUCGAGGUGGUAGCAGGAGGCUGUGGACCUGUUGGUCUAGGAUUCUGACUAGGAAACUUAUUGGUAAAUACUACUGGCGCAUUGGAGGAGUUUGCCAUAGCCGUCUUUUCCUUUAUUUGGUAAUUCAACAGAGCCCGAGCUAUCGUGAUCUGUUCAAGCUCAUCAUUGUUCUCUGGCUCCGAAGAAGAAUUUGCAGUUUCUUUCGCCACUGGAAAUAAAACACAGUAUUCAAUUUCGAACAAACAUUUAUCCCUAGGAAAAAUGAAACACAGACUCACAUAGUUUUAGAGAUGUCCAAGCUGCCAUGGCUGCAUUCUUUUCUGCUCGUUUCUUGUUCUUAGCUGGUUCCCCGGUGAAUUUGAUUCCAAUUUCCAGCCAAUUCAACCGUUCCCGUAAAAAUAGGCAGGUGCCUGAGACCUGAUCUAAAUGUUGUAUACUGAGGCAAUGGAGCCCCAACUCUUUCUGCAAUUUCCUGUAAGAGUUCUUAUAAACUCCUGUCUCAUCCUAACAUAACAAGGCCGGAUCAGUAUCAAUCUCAAUAAAACUCGAGAUAUCCAGACAGGCAUAUUCGAGAAAAUUGAGAUAUAAACACAACAAAAAUCAUCAAGAAUUUGCCAAUUCACUGAAGGUGCGUAGCUUCAUAUGAAACAAUUAACUAAAAUGCCUCUCAUCCUUGUAGUUCUACACGAUCCCCCAACCUAAGUCCAAGCACCCCAUUUUGCUCGUAUUUACAUGCUUUUCACUAUGCCGAAAAAGGCAAUUCAUAUUAAUAAUGCACCAACACUCGUGUCUCAACAAAAACAAUUCAUACAAAAUUAAAAAUGAUAACUUCGAUCAUUUGCUAAAGGAAAACUAACCGUUUCUCUAGGAAGCAUUGCCAACACGAAACCGAACCCACUCUUCCCAUAAAACCUGUCCCGAAAAAACACGUUCUUUUAACCUACAAUAACAUUUGCAUAUCACAUUUCUUUUUCAUUUUUUUUUUCUGUUGCGCAGACAAAUGUUCAUACACCUACUUGAACUAAUUAAAGUCUGCAAGAGAUUGAGACACCAAAUUAAAUUUUGCCUUCUCUACCGUUUUAUCCUGGGGCAGUCAAUUGAGAUGGCCUGAAAUGAAACAUUUUUAUGACCAAAAUACCCAUGAUUAAGCCAUUAAUUACACCUACAGAACCCAUAUAAUCAAAAUACAGCAGUUUCCCAGAAUAUCAGAGAGAAAAAAAAUUGAAGAAAAAUCAUAAGAUUGAAUCCCAUUUUUAUUUCCCUCAAAAAUUAAUUAAGUUUUCGCUUCCAUCAUCUGAAAAAAAGCCAAGAAAACCCCACUGCCUUCUGCUAAAUCAUUAACUAUUGAAGGGCAUUCUAGUAAUUCCCUACGACUAGCUGAGCUGAACCUCCGGCGAUCACGACGGCGGAGCAGGCUAACACCAAUCACACCCCACGGCUCAAUUUAGCAUAGAAAGACCAAAAAAAAAAACAAAAAAAAGGCGCGCCAUUAGCGGAAGAUUUGAGAAAGAACUUACUAGGAUUCCAGCGGCGAGGGAGUGAGAAGGUCUACGGAGAGUCGAACAAUAGUUAAAAUUUUUCAUCACUGCACCAAAUAAUUAUUCUACUAUAUUAAUAUACUAUUUAUUAAUUAUUUGUUAAAUAAUGAUAUUUUUAUUAUUAUCACAUCGUAAUUAGUAAAAUAUUAAUAAAUUAUUAUAUCUAUUUUUUUAAAAUUAGUUAUUUAAUAAUAUGGUAAAUUAAUUCAGAAUUUUCUCGUGCUUUUAUAUAUUAUAAAUAUUUUUUUAUUUUUAAAAUAUUAUACUUUUAUAUUAAUUAUUAUUAAUUUAUAUUUUUAAGUUAUAAAAUCGAUUAAAUCAAAACCGAAGGUUCAAACGAUUUCGUACUUUUUCGUUUUCCUUUAAAAAACUUUAGAGAUUUUUUAAAUAAAGUAUUUUAAAAAAUAUAUAUUAAUCUUAUUUAAUUAUCUUUAUUUACUUAUUUCGCAAUAAUAUAAAGAUUUAAUUGGUGAGUUUAUUUUGAAAGAGUUAAAUUUACUUACAACUUUAUAAUAUAUAGAUUUUUCUUUUGUUAUAAGCAAAACAAAAGUAUAUAUCUUUAUUGUAAUGUAAUAUAAAUUUUUAAUAUGAUAUUUACUUUUAUUUAUAACUCAAAAAAAUUGUGUUUUAAUAUACUUAAAUCUACACAUAUUAGUUGUUGAAAUAAUUGCUAUAACUAUUUAGGGUUUAAUGACAAAUUUAGUUUUAAAUGUUUACAUCUUUUGUCAAUUUGAUCUUUAUUCUCUUUUUUUAGUUAAAUUUGAUUAUUAAUCUUUCAAAAAUAAUAAUUCUACUUUUUUAGAAAGGUUGAUGGUUAAAUUCGAUUUUUUUUAAAAGGUUAAGGGUCAAACUUAGUUAAAAAAAAGGGUCAAAUUAAUAAAAAAUAUAAAAAUUAAAGGCUAAAUCUUUUAUUAUGCCAAUUAGUUAUUAAUGGGUUAAUUAUUACAACACUAUGUAAAACUUCUAUAAAUAAAAUUACGUUGCUACCGAUUUUUUUUUAAAAAAAUUGGUUUAAAAUUGAAGUAUUAUUGUUAAAAAUAUUUUUAAGAAGUUAAAAUUUUGAUCUUAGAUAUAAUGUUGAAAAGUAAAUAUAUAUUUAAAUGAUAUUUAAAUUCAUUAACAGUAUGAUAUUUCAAUAAAAAUAUGAGAAAAUUAUUUAUUUUAAUUUAUUACUAAUUUUUUGAUAGCUGAAAUAUAAAUUUUAAGUAGUUAAUUUUAAUUCUUUGUAAAUUUUUAAUUUCAAUAUAUAAAUUAUAUUUUAACUAUUAAAAUAUAAUUAUCAUGAAUUUAAAAAUAUAACAUUAUAUAUUUGAAAUAAAAUUUAAAAGAUAAGUAAUUGUAUAAUCAACAUAAAUAUCACAAAACAUACAUUAUAUGAAAAAAAAUGUUUAAAAUGUUAUUUUGGUUCUCAAAGUUGUGAUCAAGCUUUUGUGGAUACAGGCUAUACGUGGACGAGGAGUAAUGCAGAGGCGAAUUUGAAAUUGGAUCAUCCUAAAUUCAUGCGCUUUUUAUUGAAUUGGUAUUGUCUGGAAGGAUUGUAUAAAGCAUAAUACAAAUGGGCUAGUGUCCAAUGAUGAAUUUUAUGUGUCAAUUUGGAGGUGUACUUCGAGACUCAAAAGCUAAAUAGUUGUGUGGUUUCUCAAUGCCAUUGGGUAAGAAAGUAGGGGCUAGAGAGAUUGUAGUUAUAUAAGUUAUAUAACAAAAUUUCAUCAAUGGGAAUGGAGAAAGAAAUAAUGAUCUCCAAAUCCGAGAUGAACAACAAAUUCCAUGAAAUGAGAGUGGCUUACGACAACUCUUUUGGCAAACCACGAUCAGUGGUUGGCAGCGACUUACAAGGAAAACCAUGAGGCCUUGUUCAACCCAAUCACGGCUUGUGGAGAUACAUAUGUUUCACGUUGCAGCUUACAGAGGAAGUGGAGCAAUGCUUCAAACCCUGGUUAAGUUGGUGCCGCAAACAAAGAAGUGCAAGGUGUUGAAGGUGAAGAACGUUUAUGGGAACACCGUCCUCCAUGAACUGGUCACCACUGCCAAAGCCGAAGCAGCUGAUUUGUUAAUGAAGGAGGUAUUGUUCUCUGACGGCUUGCAUAUCAUGAAGAUUAUAUACGGGAGAGGGAAGAGAUACUGGCGGAUCGGGACAAGUUGGGGGAAACCCCAUUGUUCAGAGCUGUCGAAUAUGGCAACUUGUCGAUGGUGAAGUACUUGGCUACACAGAUUGAAGGAAUGGGAGGAAAUCUUCACAAGCAUUACACUAGAGAUCAUAAUGGACUCCCCAUUCUUCAUAUUGCAGUGAUUGGCCAGCACUUUGGUAAUCCAUUAUGCUCAAAUUAUUCUAUUUACUUAUUUCACAUAAUUUUGUUUUCUUUAUUUUUAUAAUAUCAGUAAUUAAUUCAAAUAGACUCCGGUUGGCACGGGAGUAGCUAGGGGGCUGGCAUGGGCCCGGCUCCCCUAAAAUAGAAAUUUUCAUUUUAAACUCUUGAAAUUUUUUAAAAAUUUUAAAUUAGUAAAGGUAAAAUUGCACUUUGCCUCUCCUAAAAUUAUAAAAAUUCAAUUUAAUCCUUUACAAAUUAUAAAAAUAUAAAUUAUAAAAAAUUAAAAUUUCAUCCGCCUCCCCUAAAAAAAUUUUCUAGCUUCGCCCCUGCCGGUUGGAUAUUUUUUAAAAAUCAUUCCAACAUGAUGAGAAGUGAUUGUAAGAAACUGUAAUUCCACGUAAUUCUUAUUCAUUAUUAGUUGGAGAAUGAUUACAUAAAAUUUUAUGUUUGAACAAUGUUUUCUUCAAAAAAAUCCAUAUGAAUAUAUAUAUUAAUAAAAAUAGGCAAUUAAUUGCUAAAUUUGUUCAAGGAUAAAGCUACUUGUUCUUUGAAAAUGUUGACUAAAAAGGUUAAGUUAAAAAAUAAAUUUGAAAAUAAAAACAUUUAAAAUAUAGAAAGAGAUUUAAACUCGGUUUGACGCAACCUAUUUUAAAGUUUAUAAUAUAUUAUUUUCUUCUUUUUGUUAUAUAUGAUGUGAUUUAUGUCAUAUAAAAACAUAAAAUAUAUUAUAUUAUAAUUAAUAUUAAACAUAUGUUAAAGCUGUUUAUAUUUAAAAAUGCAGUGAAAGAAAAAAAUGUAUAAUUAUAAUAAAAAUAUAUAAAUAAUAACUAAUAAAUAAAUAAAAAUAGGUAAACUUAAACAGGUUUGGAAUAGACAUUACAAAUAUGAGUAAAUUUUGACGAAACUUGAGGUUUAUAUUUUAAUUCAAGCUAACUUUAGGCAAUUAUAUAUGAUAUAAUUAUGGGUCGUUUCUUAUUAAUGAGAACUCCAUCUGGCGUUCCAAGUUCUUCACCAGAUUCAAGAGUUGUUUUCAAUGCCUAACAUUAGAGUGUGUCAAUUAUUAGACUUAAAUUAUAAAAAAGAAUCUUGUAUAUUGGCAUGAUGGUUAGGGUGAAAAGGAAUUGCUGUAAUAUUUCGAUUAUUAAUUUGAAAAUUGAGGAGAGAGAGGAAGUAGAAAAAGCUCCCAAAUUUGAUCCUUGAGAAAUGGGUAAGUAAAAUUUUUUUUUUUUUUUUGGAUGAGUUGGUUCCAAGAACACCAUCCUGCCAUGAAUUUGGAAUUCCUGGCCUGUAAAAUCUCAAGUUUCAGAACCUGACUUGGAACAAAUAAUAGUAGUAAUAAUAUCCCAAGGGAAGAAGAAAUUUUUUUUAUCUCAACACUCAAAUCCUACCAAGUCAUCGGAGGAUUUUCGUCCAACUGAUUGUGAACAUUAAUAUUCACAGUUGUGACAUUAACAACAGGACCAGGAAACGCCCCAUUAACUGCUAUAACCUGCCAACAGAUGAAUUAGACAUAUAAGGCAAUUUGAAGUUUUAUAUUAGUAUCCAGAUUUUCAAAGACCGGGACAAGUCGUGAGGUCCCAUGCGACAUGCAUAUAUGCUAACAGUUGAGGCACAACCAUUGCCAAGUACUCAACUUACGUUCAAAAGUUAAUCAAAUAUGAUAUACUAGUGGAAAAUCACAAAUAGUUCACAAAUCCAGUCUUUACCCUCUGACGUACUUCAACAAUCUAAGCCAGAACCAUCCCACAAAGUGAAGGAAACAGAAAGUAGUGUUGAGGGGAGAGGGUGAUGUAAGAGAGUUUAAAAUCAAGAAAGACUCAAGGGUCGGCAGUAAAACAGAGCAAUGUGAAUCAAAAGAGAAAGAGGGUCUUUGGUUGUUUAUGAAUGGAAAACAUCAUUCACUGAUUUUCCAAAUAUAUCUAUAUCUUUCCAACGCCCCAGCUAUGUUAAUGUAUAUCUUUUCCUUUCCACUACUUAGAUUAAUUAAAGAUUUGAGCGUCCAUGUAGUUGCUUGCUUUAACAAUUUACCUUUCCAUAUCACAAAUGAGCUUUGCCCAAAAUUAGCAGAUUCUCAUAAUGUUGGGAAAUGGAUUUAGUGGGAACUCAACCAUCAUUCACUACUCCCAUUACUAUCUAAUCGUGGCAGCUUCGACACGACACUUGCUCUUCCGAAGAGUAAGAGACUGGUUGAAAAAGACGGAAGCAUAAAUCCAUUCAUUUAUAAUUUUCUAUAUCAUGGUUAAAAUAUGGAGGUGAUACUAUAAUUGUGUUCCCUCACCAUGCUGCCAAAGAUUUUUUGUUGGAAAAUAUAUUUUUUAAGAAAAAACCUCAAGGACCAAAGCCAGAAUUUGAACAUUUAAAAUUGAAUACAAGCAGAGAAGCAUUAGAUUAGAUCGGGGGGGGGGGGGGGGGGGUAAUUAUAAAUAAACUAAAUAAGAAUUUGCCUCUAGACAUAGUCUAACUUUAACUGCAAUUAUAUGGGACUAACUUAAUCUGCAGAAACUGUAGCUUUAGCUUUCUAAGAAAACAAAAUGAAAAAGAACACUCAUAUAUGAGUUGACAAAAAGUAACAAAAACAAACUUUGAUACCAACACAAAACCAUAGCUCUUACUCUAUUGCUUCCGAUUCGGAAUUCGAUCCUUCCUUGCCAUCAGAUUUUGAGUUGUUCUAAACUCUGUACUGUCUCAGAUUCUUGCAGGUUCUUCGAUAUUGUGCUUGCUGCUUCCUCUGCUUGAAUAGGUGAUUGGUUAGGCGGGGGAGCAGCAGUAGCGGUUGUGAUAUCUUCAUUUCUGAGAGGAACGGAUUGUUUAUCUUCUUUCCGUACCGGUGGAGCAGCAAAUACAGGAACUACUUGCCUAAUGGUGACUGCUUGGGCAAUUCGUACUGGAGGAGCUCGCAGCACUUGAGAGGGGAGUGUCGCUGGCAAUUGAUGAGGAGGAAGAACAGAUUGUUCUGGUUGAGGGGGAUGAGUAGGAACCGCUGAUGUCGGUGGCUGAGGAGAUACUGCAGCUGGUGCUGGACGCGGAGGUGCGGAGAAAACAGGCACUGCAGUUCUUAUUGUCACUGGUGGAGCAAUGCCACAGCAAGGUGUCCUUAAUUGUCUGAUGGGAACAUAAGGCGCUGCUCCAGCUGCUGGGAAUUUCUGUGGACGAACACCACGGCUUUCAGGAGUAGGUGUUUGCGAUGAUGUCAGUACGGGCUUCUCAUUUACUGUUGCUGACAUAGAUCUGUUUCGAGGAACCAACUUCGGGCAGAUUAAAGGAAGGAUUUUCGAGGUGGUAGCAGGAGGCUGUGGACUUGUUGGUCUAGGAUUCUGACUAGGAA
rnacentral:lncRNA from 1 species